UGAAACUUCGGUCGAUUUAAUUUAAUUCUAGUGGCGGACGGGUGAGUAACGCGUGGGUAACCUGCCUUAUACAGGUGGAUAACAGUCAGAAAUGGCUGCUAAUACCGCAUAAGCGCACAGAGCUGCAUGGCUCGGUGUGAAAAACUCCGGUGGUAUAAGAUGGACCCGCGUUGGAUUAGCUUGUUGGUGGGGUAACGGCCCACCAAGGCGACGAUCCAUAGCCGGCCUGAGAGGGUGAACGGCCACAUUGGGACUGAGACACGGCCCAGACUCCUACGGGAGGCAGCAGUGGGGAAUAUUGCACAAUGGGGGAAACCCUGAUGCAGCGACGCCGCGUGAAGGAAGAAGUAUCUCGGUAUGCAAACUUCUAUCAGCAGGGAAGAUAGUGACGGUACCUGACUAAGAAGCCCCGGCUAACUACGUGCCAGCAGCCGCGGUAAUACGUAGGGGGCAAGCGUUAUCCGGAUUUACUGGGUGUAAAGGGAGCGUAGACGGUGUGGCAAGUCUGAUGUGAAAGGCAUGGGCUCAACCUGUGGACUGCAUUGGAAACUGUCAUGCUUGAGUGCCGGAGGGGUAAGCGGAAUUCCUAGUGUAGCGGUGAAAUGCGUAGAUAUUAGGAGGAACACCAGUGGCGAAG
rnacentral:rRNA from 1 species